UAUGUUUUAUUAUAAUAUGUAUAAAAGUUUUUGAUACUUUAGGAAAUAGUUUGAUUCUGUUAAACAUAA
rnacentral:tRNA from 1 species